AGGACGAACGCUGGCGGCGUGCUUAACACAUGCAAGUCGAACGGAAAGGCCCUUCGGGGUACUCGAGUGGCGAACGGGUGAGUAACACGUGGGUGAUCUGCCCCGCACUUUGGGAUAAGCCUGGGAAACUGGGUCUAAUACCGAAUAGGACCAUGGCAUGCAUGUGCUGUGGUGGAAAGCUUUUGCGGUGUGGGAUGGGCCCGCGGCCUAUCAGCUUGUUGGUGGGGUUAAGGCCUACCAAGGCGACGACGGGUAGCCGGCCUGAGAGGGUGUCCGGCCACACUGGGACUGAGAUACGGCCCAGACUCCUACGGGAGGCAGCAGUGGGGAAUAUUGCACAAUGGGCGCAAGCCUGAUGCAGCGACGCCGCGUGGGGAUGACGGCCUUCGGUUGUAAACCCUUCAGUAGGACGAAGCGCAGUGACGGUACCUACAGAAGAAGCACCGGCCAACUACGUGCCAGCAGCCGCGGU
rnacentral:rRNA from 1 species